AUUUGGAAGAUAAAAAAACUUGUUGGAAAAAUUUAUAGUUCACAAAUAUAGUACUGUACUAAUAUCAACAGGCAUUGAAACAGAAAUUGUGAAAGGGAGCAGCAUGCUUAUACAUUCCGACGUAAUUUUGAACCUGACCUACAUUCUGUAUUGGUACAAUUCCGUGCUUAUAUAAUUAUCUGCAAGAAUUGUAAAUAGCGUGCAUGCCACAUCUCACAGUUUUGCUUCGGAUAUCGACGGAUGUUGAUGUGCGCGAAUCUUGCCAUGCAUUUCAGAGGUCUCUGAGAGUAACAUGGGAGAACACGUGGGAACUAGCAAUGUGUAUUCAUUUCAUACUCUGCUUGGUUCAGUGACAAUGGCAGUUCAGAACGAAAGCACAGAUGAAGGAAAAAGAGAUGAAAAUUAUGCCGAUAAGAAAGUAGCAGCAGAUAAUUCAAUCAACAGUGAUUUAUGGGGAUCUGAUAUGUAUCCUGAAAGAAGAGGAGCAAAGUUUAAGCCUAGCUGGUUUAAAACAUUGAUUGGUGCUGCAGGACGAGAAUCAGUAGAUAAAGCUAGAUGUGAAGAGAAUGUUUAUAGAUGCGUAAAAGAUAGUCCCAUUGUAAAACUCAUGUUGGGAGCUCUAAAAAGUUCUGGAUGUGAAGUUGAUAUACGGCGUCACAUCUCCUGUGAAAUAUGCGAUCCGAUAGUAACUGGUGGAUAUGAUUCUGAGUUAAAUCAGAUAAUUGUUUGUCAAAAUUCGGCAUCUGCUAAACGUGAAGUUCAGGGUAUUCUCCUACAUGAAAUGAUUCAUAUGUUUGACUACUGUCGUAAUAAAUUAAAUGUAAAAAAUAUUGAUCAUUUAGCCUGUACAGAAAUCAGAGCUGCAAAUAUUGGUCAUUGUAGUUUUUUGAGCUCAGUGUUUCAAGGCAAUUCAUCCUUCAGUAAUAUAAAAGCAACACAUCAGAACUGUGUAAAACACAAGGCUAAAAUGUCAGUAAUGGCUGUACAUAAAGUAUCAGCAGAAGUAGCAGAAGCAGCCAUAGACAGAGUAUUCACAAAGUGUUAUAACGAUUUAGAACCAGUUGGUAGAAGAAUUCGUAGAAAUUCAGCAGAUAUGCCGAGAGCAUACGCAGAAGCAUAUUUGUAUGGAUAUAUGUAAAUGUACAAAGAAAAAAGAAUGAAGAAAAUUGUACAUUGACUCAAUUAGAUUGUUAUGGACAAACGCUGUAGAACUUUUAUUCGGGAUCUUUUUCUUGGCAUAAUGACAGCCUGCGGUCAAUAUGCGAUUGCCGCCGCUAUUAGUUCUGCCUGGUGACGUGAAAGAGGAGCAAACCGAAUCAAUAAUGUUGAAGAUAUUAUAUUGGCCAAUGCGUUCGGAGAAACAGCCAGCGAUGCUGUGCUCUAUUGCGACAGACCUGGUAAAGAGGAAAUCGACCACAGGGAGACAAGGUGCGCGCUACGUGCCAAGAUACUUCUGUGAUCCGGAGAU